rnacentral:antisense_RNA from 3 species
UUUUAUGGUGGGCAUGCGUGGGGCUCCUUUGUGAGCGCCGGGUUUCCUGUCGCAACCGGUCUACCAACCCACGUAUGGCCGCCACCCUC